AUCCUGGCUCAGAUUGAACGCUGGCGGCAUGCCUUACACAUGCAAGUCGAACGGCAGCGCGUCCUUCGGGAUGGCGGCGAGUGGCGAACGGGUGAGUAAAGCAUCGGAACGUGCCCGGUAGUGCGGGAUAGCUCGGCGAAAGCCGGAUUAAUACCGCAUGAGAUCCGAGGAUGAAAGCAGGGGACCCGCAAGGGCCUUGCGCUACUGGAGCGGCCGAUGUCAGAUUAGGUAGUUGGUGGGGUAAAGGCCUACCAAGCCUGCGAUCUGUAGCUGGUCUGAGAGGAUGAUCAGCCACAUCGGGACUGAGACACGGCCCGAACUCCUACGGGAGGCAGCAGUGGGGAAUUUUGGACAAUGGGCGCAAGCCUGAUCCAGCCAUGCCGCGUGCAGGAUGAAGGCCUUCGGGUUGUAAACUGCUUUUGUACGGAACGAAAAGCCCCCUUCUAAUAAAGGGGGGUGAUGACGGUACCGUAAGAAUAAGCACCGGCUAACUACGUGCCAGCAGCCGCGGUAAUACGUAGGGUGCAAGCGUUAAUCGGAAUUACUGGGCGUAAAGCGUGCGCAGGCGGUUAUAUAAGACAGAUGUGAAAUCCCCGGGCUCAACCUGGGAACUGCAUUUGUGACUGUAUAGCUAGAGUACGGUAGAGGGGGAUGGAAUUCCGCGUGUAGCAGUGAAAUGCGUAGAUAUGCGGAGGAACACCGAUGGCGAAGGCAAUCCCCUGGACCUGUACUGACGCUCAUGCACGAAAGCGUGGGGAGCAAACAGGAUUAGAUACCCUGGUAGUCCACGCCCUAAACGAUGUCAACUGGUUGUUGGGAAUUAACUUUCUCAGUAACGAAGCUAACGCGUGAAGUUGACCGCCUGGGGAGUACGGCCGCAAGGUUAAAACUCAAAGGAAUUGACGGGGACCCGCACAAGCGGUGGAUGAUGUGGUUUAAUUCGAUGCAACGCGAAAAACCUUACCCACCUUUGACAUGUA
rnacentral:rRNA from 1 species